rnacentral:rRNA from 1 species
CCUACGGGGGGCUGCAGUGGGGAAUAUUGGGCAAUGGGGGAAACCCUUAUCCAGCGACGCCGCGUGAGGGAAGAAGGUUUUCGGAUUGUAAACCUCUGUCAGUGGGGACGAUAAUGACGGUACCCACGGAGGAAGCCACGGCUAACUACGUGCCAGCAGCCGCGGUAAUACGUAGGUGGCAAGCGUUGUCCGGAAUUACUGGGUGUAAAGGGAGCGUAGGCGGGAUGUCAAGUCAGAAGUGAAAAUUAUGGGCUCAACUCAUGACCUGCUUUUGAAACUGGUAGUCUUGAGUGAAGUAGAGGCAAGCGGAAUUCCUAGUGUAGCGGUGAAAUGCGUAGAUAUUAGGAGGAACACCAGUGGCGAAGGCAGCCUACUAAACUGUGACUGACAUUGAUGCUCGAAAGUGUGGGUAUCAAACAGGAUUAGAUACCCCAGUAGUC